rnacentral:lncRNA from 1 species
AUCCUGCCAUUAGGCCCUGAUGAUGAUCAACACGCUUAUCACAAACUGUGAUCCAUGAGUGGGAGAUAGGGUUUGUUAAUCUCUCACUAAUCCCUGCCUCUCCUUUAACAAGGUGAUGGGUUCAUACGGUGAUCAGGGUGAUCAUAGAAUAUGCUACACUGCAGACAUGAUUCUGCCGGUUUUCAAACAGGCAUUGCAGGUGCUGAUGAAUUUAGUACUGAAUAAGUAUGGCUCUUUUGUGUUUUCUUUUUUGAAUCUUGGUGUAUCUUUGCUUUUAGCUUUGCUUUUGAAAGCAUGCUUGCUUGUGGUCUAAUUGGGGAUUGGGUUGGGUGGUGCUAGGAUUUGCAUUGCAUCUGCAACUGCUGUCCUUGUCACUGCCUCCUUUUCUCUCUCUCUCUCUCUCUCUCUCAAGUUUUGGUGAUUAAUUAGGACAACUAAAGAUGCAAGUUGAUGAACCAAAGUGACUGAAUAAUGUCUACCACUGAGUAGCUCUUGCAGGGAAGUUUUGGUGAUUAAUUAGGACUUCCGCGGUGAAAUAUCUCUGCACUUUCUGCAAAAGUAUUUUACGAGGUUUGUGGUUUUGAUCAUUGCAAUGUUCAGCAAGUUGCAGUUUGUCUGUUUUUUUUUUUCACCGUCAGAUAUUUCGUCGCCAGCGAGG